AUUGAAGUAACAAUGAGUCAUGUGAUUUUGUAAGGCUGUUGUUUUAUGACUUUAUCAAAACCAGAUGCAUCCUAAAACCACACAAUAACUGUACAACCACCCACCACAAAGCCACCGUCACAAUCUGUACAACCACAACGCCACCGUCACAAAAUGGCAACCGCCACCACAACUACUUAGCCGCCGUCACCCCCUAACCGUCGGCCAUAAUCUUUCUCUCUCUAAGCUCCACCACCUAAACACCGCCUCCCGUCGGAACACACACCGCCAACCUCAUGCUAACUUCAGGCGAAGGACAGGGAUGUAAAUUCUGUCGGUGAGGGGCAAUAUUGUACAGAACUACCACCAUCGCAAUGUCUGUGAACCUUCCUGGACCGCCCUUGUUCUGAGCCCUCCGUAAUACCACUGGAAUCUGCCAUCCUGUACCACCGCCGGGGGCUGAACGCCGCUCGUUGUUCCGAUCUGUGAGUUGACGUUGAGCGGCUGUCAAGUGGUGACAAUGCAUCUUCAUAAUUUUUGUUUGAUUCAAUUCCGACAUGACGUUUUUCUAAGCUUUAAAUUUGAAGAUAUCCCGCCGCCCCCGUCCGGGUAUACUCACAUCUUUUUUAAAUUCUCUACCUCUUUUUUAUGCUUUUAUAUAAUUCUUUGUUUGGUUUAGGUCACUUUGCGCAAUCUUGUAGGCUUUAAAAUUUCUGUGUGUAAUUGACGGUGUUACAGGUGGAUUUGAGGGGCUGAAUUUGUGUUUUUCUUGUGUUGUUUAGUGUUUAUGUUUGUUUGUUGCUAAAAAUUGUUUGUGUUGUUUGGUUUGGUGUUGAUAAACAAAAAAUCUAAAUUCUAAUCA